CACCAUGAACUUCAUCAGUCUCCUUCUCUCCCCGAAACACAGAUACCUUCCUCUUCAUCCACAACCAACCUUCAUGUCCAAUCAAAAGAAAAUCCCUCAUCGAUCCAAUCGAAGCGCGCCUAGCUCCUCACCUAAGUGCCCAGUGGAUUUCACCCUCUCUCUACUGAAAUCCAUCCCUCAGAUCCCUAAUCAUCAAUUGGAGAACAAUAGCAAAGCAAUCUAAAGCCAAGAAAUUGGAGAAUUUGGGAAAGGGUACCGUCACACCCGUCCAGAUCGCCUUCCUCGUCAGCCAGUUUCUCUUUGAUAACAGCUGCACCGAAGCCUGCUUCGUUUUCGGAACUAAAGCCUCCUCGCUCUUCUCUACGUCUCCGAUUCAAGAGAUGCCGCAGAGCCUGCUGAGUUUGUCUGAGAUUCUGAAGAGUACAAAGCAAUGGGGAGCAGAAGAUGCUUCGCAAAGCCAACGGUGACCGGGACAAGGCUAACGAGCCGUUUAUGAGCUCCUCAUCGAGCUUCAUCUCUUCCCUUUAGUUUUUGUUCUUCCGACUGUUAUACACAUAGUGCUUUCGCUAUUCAGCCGAAUAUGAAUUGAGAUGUAUGAGAAAUGCUUUAGAUAUGGGAGACAAUGAAGAAAUUAUUGACAUAGCUAAACGCUUUUAUAGAAUUGUGAUUGAGCGGAAUUUCACAAGGGGCCACAAGUCAAAGCAAGUACAGGCUGCAUGUCUUUACAUUGCAUGUCGGU